GGCAGAGGGUGCAAACGUUGUUCGGAAUUACUGGGCGUAAAGCGCGUGUAGGCGGCUAAGUAAGUCGGGCGUGAAAUCCCACGGCUCAACCGUGGAAGUGCACUCGAAACUGCAUAGCUAGAGUCCUGGAGAGGAAGGUGGAAUGCUUGGUGUAGAGGUGAAAUUCGUAGAUAUCAAGCGGAACACCGGUGGCGAAGGCGGCCUUCUGGACAGUGACGUGACGCUGAGACGCGAAAGCGUGGGGAGCAAACAGGG
rnacentral:rRNA from 1 species